GCACCCGUAGUUAAAUGGAUAUAACGGUGGUCUCCGAAGCCGCAGGUUCAGGUUCGAUUCCUGACGGGUGUA
rnacentral:tRNA from 1 species